rnacentral:lncRNA from 1 species
UACUCUCCUCCUCAACAACGAUUUGCUGAACUCUGGAGAACCUCUGCCCUCUUGUUCCCUUUUCCACCCCAUUCUCAUAGGAUGACAUCAUGGAGUGCAGUGUGAAAAAUCUCUGACCCAGAGAAUCAUAAGCUGUAAGGCCUAUGUCGUGGUCAUUUAAUGUAAAACAAGGUAUGCCAGACUCAUUGAGUUUAUUUCUAAGAUAAUU